rnacentral:rRNA from 1 species
UACGUAGGGUGCGAGCGUUAAUCGGAAUUACUGGGCGUAAAGCGUGCGCAGGCGGCGCGUUAAGACAGGUGUGAAAGCCCCGAGCUUAACUUGGGAAUUGCGCUUGUGACUGGCGUGCUGGAGUGUGGCAGAGGGAGGUGGAAUUCCACGUGUAGCAGUGAAAUGCGUAGAGAUGUGGAGGAACACCGAUGGCGAAGGCAGCCUCCUGGGCCAGCACUGACGCUCAUGCACGAAAGCGCGGGGAGCAAACAGG